rnacentral:rRNA from 1 species
GACGAACGCUGGCGGCGUGCUUAACACAUGCAAGUCGAACGGAAAGGCCCUGCUUUUGUGGGGUGCUCGAGUGGCGAACGGGUGAGUAACACGUGAGUAACCUGCCCUUGACUUUGGGAUAACUUCAGGAAACUGGGGCUAAUACCGGAUAGGAGCUCCUGCUGCAUGGUGGGGGUUGGAAAGUUUCGGCGGUUGGGGAUGGACUCGCGGCUUAUCAGCUUGUUGGUGGGGUAGUGGAUUACCAAGGCUUUGACGGGUAGCCGGCCUGAGAGGGUGACCGGCCACAUUGGGACUGAGGUACGGCCCAGACUCCUACGGGAGGCAGCAGUGGGGAAUAUUGCACAAUGGGCGGAAGCCUGAUGCAGCAACGCCGCGUGCGGGAUGACGGCCUUCGGGUUGUAAACCGCUUUCGCCUGUGACGAAGCGUGAGUGACGGUAAUGGGUAAAGAAGCACCGGCUAACUACGUG